rnacentral:rRNA from 1 species
CCUACGGGAGGCAGCAGUGGGGAAUAUUGGACAAUGGGGGGAACCCUGAUCCAGCGACGCCGCGUGAGUGAAGAAGUAUUUCGGUAUGUAAAGCCCUAUCAGCAGGGAAGAAAGAAAUGACGGUACCUGACUAAGAAGCCUCGGCUAACUACGUGCCAGCAGCCGCGGUAAUACGGAGGGGGCAAGCGUUAUCCGGAUUUACUGGGUGUAAAGGGAGCGUAGACGGCGAUGCAAGUCUGAAGUGAAAGGCGGGGGCCCAACCCCUGGACUGCCUUGGAAACUGUAUGGCUGGAGUGCAGGAGAGGUAAGUGGAAUUCCUAGUGUAGCGGUGAAAUGCGUAGAUAUUAGGAGGAACACCAGUGGCGAAGGCGGCUUACUGGACUGUAACUGACGUUGAGGCUCGAAAGCGUGGGGAGCAAACAGGAUUAGAUACCCUGGUAGUC